UACGUAGGGGGCAAGCGUUGUCCGGAAUCAUUGGGCGUAAAGAGCGUGUAGGCGGCCCGAUAAGUCCGCCGUGAAAGUCCAGGGCUCAACCCUGGAAUGCCGGUGGAAACUGUCGGGCUGGAGUCCGGAAGAGGCGAGUGGAAUUCCUGGUGUAGCGGUGAAAUGCGCAGAUAUCGGGAGGAACACCAAUUGCGAAGGCAGCUCGCUGGGACGUCACUGACGCUGAGACGCGAAAGCGUGGGGAGCAAACAGG
rnacentral:rRNA from 1 species